UACGGGGGGGGGCAAGCGUUGUUCGGAAUUACUGGGCGUAAAGGGCUGGUAGGCGGUCAACUAAGUCGGAUGUGAAAUCCCCAGGCUUAACCUGGGAACUGCAUCCGAUACUGGUCGGCUUGAAUCCGGGAGAGGGAUGCAGAAUUCCAGGUGUAGCGGUGAAAUGCGUAGAUAUCUGGAGGAAUACCGGUGGCGAAGGCGGCAUCCUGGACCGGCAUUGACGCUGAACAGCGAAAGCUAGGGGAGCAAACGGG
rnacentral:rRNA from 1 species